rnacentral:tRNA from 2 species
GGACAAUUAGCUCAGUUGGGAGAGCGGCGGGGUCAUAAUCCGCAGGUCGCCAGUUCGAUUCUGGCAUUGUCCU